CGGUGGUGGAGGCGGCGGCGGUGGAGGCUGCUAAAUACUCUCCAAGGAUUGAGCUGGCCACGAUCUUAGCACUGUUUUGGAACUAGUAAGUAGAAUCUCGUAGAAUCUAUUCAGCAAUUCUAUGUACUUCAGGUACUAUAGUGAUUCAGGUAAAAUCCAAAAAAAAGGGAAACAUCCACUUACAAUACAACGUUUUGGGCUCUCUUCUCUUGUC